GCCGCUGCCGGCUCUUUGUCUGCUCGGGCAACUUGAACAAAAGGAGAAACUCGGAUGAACUCUCCAUCUCUCCCUCGCCUCUCCCGGGUUAACUCAUCUUCGGCAACUUUAUCCGAAGAGAUUUACUCAACUUUCUUCGAGCUCUCCCGCCGCUUAAAAGCAAAGAGCCUCGUCGUAGGCUUCUAAGGAAAUCUGGUUUCACAGUUUAGAGAAAAGAGAAGGUCACAACAUGAUUGUUGGGAAAAUGGGACGGUUACCAAAACGUCAGUCUGUGAUGGGUGCCAUAUUGCAUUACUCUUCGAAUGGUGGAAUACAGCUUGGGAUUCUUCAGGGCUGCUUAACAUGGUUCAAACUGGACCAUACAGCUGCUUAACUGUUUGGAUUCAUACUAAUGGUUAAUGGACUCCUGGAGGAAGUGGAAGAGCCCCAUGCUGAAACUUAUGGAUAUUGUGGAACAUGCUGCUGUGACCCGUUUGGAUUAUACUGCCAUCUGACACCAAGGUUCUGCAGCUGAUGAAAGGAGUUCACCAGAUCUUUUUGCUAUGUGGUUGAUGAAGCAUUAUCCUGGGACAGCAGUGAUGAUGGAUGCAUGAACAGAACACACUUCAGGCUGGAGUCACAGAGAAACGUGAGGAUUUACACUUCUGAAGUAGGUGUGAAUGGGAUUGAAAGGCUUACUUGGAAAAUUCUGAACUCCCCUUCUUCCGGGAAGGACGGGGCUGAAAAUGGAGGCUGCACCAUCCAGAGCAGCUUUGGAUGACCAUCUGAGUCUUUUGUACAUGGGAGCAGGCAACACCUAAAAGCAAUAGGUCUGUCUGGACAGCACUCAGCUUCAGAGGGCCAGAACCAAGAUGAUGCCAUGCUGCCUACAGCCCUGAAGUCAAAGGACAUGCCUUGGGUGGUGUAGGGAGAAAAGGCAGUGAUAUUAUUGGGUUGAAGGUGUGAGGGACAGUGGCUGAGGCUUUGCCUGAAGUGGAAAUCAGCAGCAGGUGCAAGUGUAUGCUGGAGAGGAGCAGGCUGCAGCAAGGUUCAGGAGUAGCCCAGCACUUGGAGGGGGUAAAAGGGUAGGCAGCAGAGCAAAGAGGGUGUCAGUGGUGCAUCGAAAGCAUCUGGAGCUCAGUGGGUGAAGGAGGAAAACAAAUGGGAGUAGUAACUUGUGUGGCCUCUCCAGAACAGAGAGUGGGGUGACAGGAUGCAGUGGAGAGUGAAGUGGGUGGGAAAUUCUCUGUUCAGCCAUCUACGCCAAACACAUUUUUUCCUCCAGAGAUGUUUCUUGGUGGGCUGUAUUUGAAACUGAGUAUGAAGGAGUCUCCCCUGCAGCUGUUGAGAGAGAGAGGUGAAAAAUUCAGGGAACCAGAAAUCAGGCCUUUCUGGAUAAAAGAAAAGACCAAAGGGGUGAGAAAUGUGCGGGCAAUAAUGAGAAAACAAGUGUUUUGAAGCAAAGUUUUGGAAAGUAAUGGGAGAGCAGGGAUCUUAAUCAGGAAAUACACAGUGGUAAGAUUCAAUUUCCAGCUUUCUUGUUUUUCUUUUUUUUUUUUUUUUACCAGUAUGAUGUAAAUGGCAGCUCUUAUUGGAGGGAAAGAAAAAUUACUUUUCUCAUCAAGGAAGUGGAGAAAUAUCACUAUAUUUGCUUGCAUGCACAAGGAAUGCUUUAAUAGGCCUGCUCUAAGACCACCUCUGGUUAUGAUCCACAUGUGCUACUGAAGCUGGCUAGAAUGGUGUGACAAAUGAGAUUCAGAUGGAUCACUCUUUACCAGCUGUCAAGGCCAAUACUGCUGUACAGUCCUUGCUCCCAGCAACAUCCUCAGUGUCCUGGUGAUGGGGUGUCUUGGAAGGACUGUGCAGAUCAAGCUUCACACUACUGCACUUCAGGCUCUUUGUGCUGCAUAAAGCUGGACCGUUUGGAAGAAGCAAGACUGGCUUUCCUCACAGCUGUGAUGCUGCACCGCUUUCGACAGAGCCUGCUUUUCCCCCCAUUUACCUGGGCGGCUGCUGCUCUUUCUGCUGCUGCUGGGGCUGCUGCAGUCUUGCUGCCUGCGCUUCACCCUGGCUUGGCUGACUCGAAACUCUCUCGUCUGCACAUUGCUAAGGAAGAGGAGUGAUGGAGCCGCGAAUUUUUUUUAUUGGUUUUGGAAGCCAAGGGUUGCAAUAUGUGGUGAUUUUGGGGUUUUCUUUGGCGGGGGGGGGGGGGGAGGGAGGAGAAAGGAAGGGUGUUAAUCUAGGAUAGGGUGGGUGAAAGCUUAAAGAAAUAAUAUGUAAAGUAAUCCAGUGCUCGACAAGGGCAUCAGCAACAAGAAUCCAGCCUCUGCUGCUCCAGAGGAUUAACAUGGGGAGUCACAGUGCUGCUGUCGGGUUUCACCUCAGUGUUGUGCUGGAGAUGGAAAAAUAAGGUAUUGGUUGCAUCUGCCUGUUAAGGCAAAGCCAAGGGAGAAGGAGAGAGCGAGCGAAUGCAAAUGCAAAGGAAGAAGAAACGCUACGUGCCGUUUGUCUGAUUCUGUGGAUUCUCGUUGCAGAGAGGAUGGCUUGAUUAACAAAGCAAUGUAUGGAUGGGGGGACUGUAAAUUGUAGCUUGAGCACUCCUGGAGCUGUCAGGGAGUGAACUGAUGAGUUAGGUGGCUGCAGGAAUAUCCCCAGGGAAAACAGCAGCCUCGCACUCUGUGUGUAUAUCUGUGUAUGUACGUGCUUUUGUGUGUGUGUGAACAUGUAUAGAAAUGAAAAAAAGACAUUUCUGACCAAUUUACAGAGGACGUUUGUCAGAUUGCUGGGUCAGACUUGAUUGCAGCUUGUAUUUUCAGCUCUAGCUCUACACCCAUCUCCUGACUGAGGUGGCACUUUGUGAAAACAGAUGGUAGGCAGUAUUCUUUUAAGAAAUGUGAAAGCAGAUCCUUUCUGCUUAACACCUUGAAGCACUGAAUCUUCUGCACUGUGCUGAGAGAAACCGUGGGGUUUCGUUUUCUCCAUCUUAAAAUCUCUAUAAACACAGCUGUAUUCAGUAUGGUGAAAAAUUCUAUACUGUAAAUAGAAAUGUGAUCAAUCUAAUCAAAAUAAAUGCAUCCCAGAUGACUUCUAGACCAGCUGGCUACCACAGUCAUCAUAUGACUAAAUCCUCUACUGAGCAUUUAGAUUCAGCGUUAUACUUGCAUCUUUUUCUUUUUCCCUUUUUUUUUUUUUAGAUUUUCAAAUCAGCCUCUAAUUGCAAAGGAUUCUUCAUAUACUGAGAAAAGGCAAUGCUUGCAUUUGGCAAUUGAUUUCUGUGAAAUGUACCUGGGUGUAUUUUAUAUUGCGGAACCUGCUUGGGGUGGUUUUAGAGCAGGUAGAGUUGUCACAGUACAGGCGUAUUUCAUUUGUUAGGUAGCUCAGCUUGGCCAUAUCUGAACAAUGCAGAAAUAGGGGAAAAAAGCACUGCACUCAGCUAGCAGGGCUUGGCGUGGAUUCUAGCAGCUGCCUACUGGGAAAGAAGGGGUUUUUUCCUUUUGUUUUUUCCCUUUUAUACAAUGCCACAGACCAUAAUGUCAUCCUAAAAUGUGUAUGAGGGGAUUUCCCAAUAGUCACAGUGAGCUACCCUGCAAGACGCCUGUCUGGUCCUUCCACUAUUUGUUCCCCAGCCUACAAAGGCAGCCCUGUAUGUUGAAUUGUAUUUAGCCAGCUGUUGGAUAACAUUCUUGUGCUGGGGGCUAAGGAGUCUUAUUAGUCCCAAACUGUAGUUUUCUGUUUGCUUAAAGAAAAACAACUUUGGCAAUAAAGCAGGUCCUGCAAAGGAGUUUAUGCCACUUGUAUACCUUUCUGAAUCUGUUGUAUGCUUCUAACUCAGGCAGUUUAAAGCAAGCAAGGACGGAGGAGGAGAGACUCUGAACUCACAGCUUCAAAGCUGCGGCGACGAGCAAAAUGUCAGCAGCUUGUAAUUAGGAGCCCACGGUUACGUCAGUGACUGUAUCUCUCCAAUAAUAGCUAUGUGAUGUGUGCCACAAAGCAAAGGAAGACUCUCAUAACCUGGUUAACAAGCCUGGCUCAAACAAGAAAGUGCAAAAUGGAUUAAUGAAUCUGCUGUGUUCCUAAGUCAGAUGUGGAUGGAUUACAUGCACAGGGUUUGCUGAAUUCUGCAGCAGUGAAGAUUGAAUUAUGGCACGCAUUCACCAAAAGUGCAAAUCCUUCAGGGAAAAACGCAGAUGAAUAGUCUAUCCUUGAAAAUGUCUUUCCUAGCUCUGUCCUGUACAGGCAGCUGCAUGACAUGGAGGCAUGCUCUGAAGGAAGAGAUCAGCGAGCUGCACAAAGGUGUUUAAAAGGAAGGGUGCAAUUAAACACAAAGCAAGCCUGCUGAAAUUCUGCUCUGGCAUUACAGAUUUGAUACUGAAAUACCACCCCAGAGAAGACUGGCUAGGCUCUGGUGUGGUUUAUAUUAAGCCUUCUCUGGUUAAGAGCAAGGGGGGAGGGACAGGGCUUCCUGCAGCAUCUUGCAGCCAUGCAGAAGUCCCCAGGGCUGUGGGAAGCAGGAGGGAUGGACGUGCUCUUAAAGACACAUGCCCAGAUCCUGCCAAGGGGCUUUCUGACCUCUGCAAUUAUUUUUAGGUCUGUGAAGGCAACUCGACGGAGCUUAAGCAGUGAGAUUGCAGGGGGUGUUUAAUCCGCUGCGACUGGCCUUUCUCUGUGUCACGGCUGGGAGAUGUUUAUAGGACUUUUAUCAGUACCCCUACACAACAUCCAGUGUGCAUGUCUGUCACUGUUCCCAAAGACCAGUUACUGGAGGUCUGGUGUGGUUCCCUGCUCCCAGCAGAAGUCACUUGCAGUUCGGCUCUGUUGUAGUCGCUCUUUAAUUUACCAGGAUAGGUAGAUUGUAUUAUGCAAACAGUGGGGGUGGGUGGUUUUUGGUUUGGUUUUGGUUUGGGGCUUUUUUUUUUUUAGACUGUGAACACAAAUUUGUAGGAGGAGGUGACUCUGUAUAUUAAACCAAUAGCUCUUUGAAUUGUGUGUAGUAUAAUUUAAAUAUACUUACUUUAAUUAAUAGAAGGUUACAAAAGCUGGCAUUGUCUGGGGCUGUUUAAUUUACAUCUUAGGUUUAGUCAAUGAGCAUAACCUGCCUGAUUAGAACAUGUAUUCUGCACAGCCAACAGGGUGGAAGGCAUUAUUUUGUUUGUGUUAGUUCAAACAGCUGGUCAUUAAUGCAGGCCCCAUCUCCAGAGUGAAGUGCUAGUGGACAUGAAUGGCUGCCUGAUUAAUGCUGCCCCUCGAUGGGUCCUUCAUCCAGCAGCGAUGCUUGCAGCAGAAUAAUGCAGCGGGAUUUGAUUGCGCUCUAACAGGGUAGUAUGUCAUUGUGUCACCAAGCGAUCGAGGUUAUUAUGGGGUAGGGCAGACAGACGGGACAGUGGGGUUUACUAGACCGUGGCAUUUUUAGAAAUGCAGGGCUGACCUACUUAGAGUUAUUCUUGCUGGCUGGCAGCUGCCUGGUGCAGGGCUCCCCCGGAUAGGCUGCGGCUGUUGCUAGGGGGAAUUAGCAUGAAUUUUUCCACAUACAGACUCAGUGAUUGAAUGAUAAAAGCUGACUGGAAUUAAAGAGAUUCGGUUCAGUAUUAUGCAGAUUUAUCUCCCUCAUUUUUUUUUCUCUCUGUCAAAUGCAUAAAAAGGAGCAGAAAACAGUUUGUUUCCAUUUAUUUUUGACCUAUUUUUUUUUUUCCAGGGGAGGGCAGAAGUGUUGUGAAUUUUUGGUCAUAAUUUAAUAUUUAGGUCAUUGAAAUGAUAUGAUAGUGGGCAUGCAUCUUUAAUGUAUGGAAGAUUAAAAUGCUGCCUCUCUGGAAGGGAAUCAAAUGAAUAUAUUUUGUGUUCUGGUCAGGCUGCUGCCUCUCUCUAUUUGAAGCCAUGUCAGAUUCCUUCGUCUGGAAAGGGGAAACCUAUACCAGGAUUUAUUUUAUUUAUUGCAUAACAUUACUCUUAGCUAUUUUUAGCUAGCUGUACUUCAAAAAAUUAGUCCUGUUUAUGCUAGUGGAUGAAAUUAAUCCCCAGGCUAUGCCUCAUGUAUGUGGAGACAGAUGCCCAGGGUAGCUGCAGUGUUGUGUGUCAUGUUCAUCUGAAAAGGCAUUUACAUACUGCAGGCUUAUCAGCACUGCAUACCUAGCACAGUGCUGAUGCCUGACGUGUAAUCAGAUCAAUUAGAGAACUCUUCUGGAUUUCGGAGUAUUUUCCAGGCUCUGGUUUGAAGUUGGAUUCUCUAGAUGGCCUUCUUUUAUUUAUCUACAUCUGCCUCAAACAGUGUUACCUUUUCAGAGAACUCUGUGCUCCCUUAGGAAGCAAAUAAAAACAAUACUCAGUGAAGAAUCCUUUGAUGUAAUUAUGAAUAUUUCCUUUGUUAUUAUCACUAAUUAUAGAAGAUCUUUGUUUAAACAGCUAUUUCCCUCUGUGUGAUCUUUUACCAUGCAAAGAAGUUCUAAUUCAAUGCUUAUAAUUUUAAGUUAAAUUUUCAUGGCAACGCCUCAUGACAUCACACUCAAAGAAGUGGGAAUUUUCAAAAUAUGAGACAGUAGGGGAUGGGAGAGAAGGACCCAGAUGUCUUUGGAACUGCAAAAUAAAAAAUGUGACUUGGUGCUGAAAAGUAGUGAACUCAUUUUUUUCUGAAACAGUUUAAUUUGAAAUAUUUGGAUGAAUGAGAUACCUUUUAGAGGGGUGCAAACAGCUUGCACAUCUCAGGUACCUUUUAGAGGAGUGUGAGCUGCCUGUGCAUCUCUCUGGACAGCCAGCUGCUUCCCUGGAGCCAGAGCUGUUCUGCCUUGGCCCCUGGAAUUUAUUGGGAAGGUAUAAAUAAAAAGAAACUGGAAAUAGAGACAUGAAUUUGAAUGCGUUUUGCAGCUGAGGCAAACCAAUCAGUUCCUACAGAGUUGAAUUUCCUGUGUCUUUUUCCUGGCAUUGAUUCAUUACUGAAACUUGCACCACUUCCUUCUCUGAUCCUUCCUGACAGUCUCAUGGAGUGACAGAUUUUUAGAGAAGUGAAAGUGAAGAGGGGCACUUCUUGAUGCCCAGUAAUUACGUUUGCCUUGUCUGUCCUUGGAGGUUACUCCAGAAAGUUUUUGUCCCACUUCCCUCAGCAAUAUUCUCUUGAUCAAGAUCUGAUGUCCUGCUCCACUUUCCUGCAGGAUGCUAGGCAACAAGACAGCCUUUGUCUACAAUUGUCUCAUGAGGUUCUUGCCCUUGUUGGUUGUAGCCAGUUGUAGUUUCAUCCAGUUCACCUGGGCUGACUUGGGCUUCAGCAAAUCAAAAUAAGCGUGCAGUACUAUAUUAAUGCAGAACUCCAUUUACUAGAAAAAAAAAAUCUGAGUGUUAUCUUAUCUUGAUAUAUUUGUGCUAAAAAAGAGGGAGUUCAAAGAAAAGCAACAAACAAGAUAAAGCAUAUACUCUGUGGAAAACAGUUGUGUCCUUGCUGUUUAUCUGGGAUUUCAAUACAGUGACUGUUUAUAACAAACAUCAAAUCAGAUAGUUCAACAAACCAUCAAGUGACAUAUUAACUACAAAAAAUGUAGUGCACCAGAAAUUGUAUUCAACAUAAAGUUACCCUGCUGAAAAUCUCUUCAAUGAAAAUUAUUCCACACAAAUGAAUGUGAAUGAUGUGAUCAUAAUACUUUGCGUAAUUAUGAGCAGCAGAAAUAUGGAGUUAAUGAAACAAACCCAAAAUCUGAGCUCUGUAUGUGUGUAUAAUGCAUAAGAAACAGAACGCCAGAGGAGUUUGAAAUAUAUGUCUGUGUUGAAAAUAUUGUCAAUUGUGCACAUUCUUUUGAAAAAACCAUGUUAAUCACUUUCUGAUGAUCUCCUCUGAGGUUUCUAUUCUUGCUACAACUUACACCUCCUACCUUGAAGUUUCUUACCUACAAAAGAUUGUGUUGUAUUGUUCAACAUUCUUGUACCAUGACCUCUCCUGUGAGCUAUGAAAGAUCUAUUGUGCUGAGUUUCAUGCUCUUGGGUAGCUAAGUGAAUGCUGAUUUACUGGGAGCACAUGCAGGCAAUAAUUUUUUUUUUUUUCCCAUCAAAAUACCCAGAAUCAUGCCUCCAUUUUCAGCUGUGAGGUGCCUGUACUGCUUGGUGUAUUCCUGACUUCAAAGUCUUGGACAGUCAUGGAUGUGCUGAGCAUUUUGUGAUUUUAUGGCAACUUUCUGUUUUUCUGAAAAUGAUCAGAGGAUACAGGAUAUAGAGCAACCCAUCUAGGUUCCCUUGCCACAAAGAGUGAGUUGACUCCCAGCCUUCACCUCCUGCAGGGCCAUACAGAUCAGUUCUUCUGUAGCAGAUGUGUUUCAGUUCCAAUUUCAAACCAAAAGUACAAGGAAUUGUCUCAUAUUUCUUAAAAGACUGGCAGUUAGCACAUUCCUUUUAUUGCAAUGCAGUAGGGAAUACAAAUGUUUAACAAAUUAAAAUAAUCCUUACAAUAUUUUUUUUCUGUGAUCCAUUAACACGGAAGGAAAUUCUGUUACAAAUGCUCCUGUAACAGACAGGAGCAGCAUUACUGUGGGUCCACAUUCCUGCUUUUCCUGCAUCCAUGCACGUGUGUGCCUGUGCACUCAGAGUUGCUGCAUGCAUGUAGUGUGUAGGUGUGUACACAAGACACAAGCACAACUUACACAAACACAGCACUGAAGCAUAUAGCAUGUAAUCACAGUUGUCUCAGUGUAGCACCAAAACCUGGGCCUUUAGAUAUACGAUGCUGCUUUUUCUAUGAUGAAAAGUGGCUUGACCUGAAAUGUGGGCAGUUCUGGUGUGUAGCACCAGCCAUUGUGUUAAUGCUGUCAUCCCAUUCAACACUAGCAACGACAAAAAAAAAUCAUGAUAAUGUGUGAUAGAAGGGUAACAAAAGGGAUAGAGUGGUAAAAAAUGGGGUGUACCUAGAUAGCUGUGUUUCAUAACCACUCGUGCCUUUUGUAGCCAGGUAAAAUGAAAUGUGUGAUGUGCUGUUUAAGGCAGAGAGAGAUACUUUAUAUUAUAGCUAAUUCUUCCCUCCUGCUCUUAGGCCACACCUACUUCAAAAGUGAAUCCAGACUCAGAUCUUGACAGAGAUCGUGACCCUGUUGAAACCAAUGGCUGUUUUAUCCUGGAAUUCAGUUGGGCCAGGCUUUCAUCUCUGGUAUUUUCCCCUGAACAUGUCUUUUUUUCUAUAGUGUUCUUCCAAAGUGUGGUGUUUCUAUUUCUACCUUUUUUUCCCCCCCUCUGUUCCUCUGAAAAUGCUUACUUUUUUUUUGUUGAGCAAUAUACUAUAAAUUUGCUCUUGAGUAGGAGAAAAUGUGGGGAAAUAUCACUUCACUGCUGAGCUAGUAAGGUUGGAUUGCAGUGAGUCUCUAUAAUUAUGUUUUUCUGAAUACUUCUUCUGCUUUCAUCAUAAAAUGUCUUUAGUUUUUAAUGAAAGAGAACAGGCAGUGAACAAAACAAAUAUACCAAGGAGAACUCGGUCUCUUAACAGGCUGCAGAAACUCGGGUAAUGAGAUGGCUGGUGUCUUGACCUACAAAGCUAGGGCUCUUAGAAAUGUCGAGGGAGGCAGAACGCAACAAUUUCAAACAAGAAACGCUUUCUAGCUCUCUAGCCACUUGUGCUGUUAUCAUCAUUAAGAUUAACAGUGAAUUCAUUUAUCUUUUUUUUUUCUUGACACUUUGGUGUUGCAUAAACAGUCACACCAAUAUUCAAAGGAGUUAUUCAUUUGGAGGUAGGUAUACCACAGUUACGUCUGGGUUUGCCAUGUUUUUCUUUUUUACAUACAGACACAGAUUACUGUGGCUCUUUUGAGGUCCAAGUGGUUUUGAUAUUUCAAAGUUGGAGACAUUUGAAAUAAUGGCAGUUAGAGGGCAUUGGAGAUAGAUUUUGUGCAGUAUUUUAUCUGCAGAAAACAUGCGGAAUGGAGGAGGUGGUACAUGGUGCUGCAGAUUUGGUUUGGUUAUGACUGAAACAAAUGACUGGUGAAUCUUGAUGUAAAUGUCCUGCUCAUGACCUCUACAGAUGGCAGUGUAUUAUAGAUCUCAGCAGCAAUUACUGUGUUAACACACGUAUACACUGGUUUAGCUGAACUAAAUUGGCUGGUGUGUCAUCUCCAGCAGCUCUUCAUAUUACUUCUUUAAAACCUACAAUUGUUUACAACCCUGCAGAUGAGAUCACAAGUUCCAGUUUUUCUUUCUUCUCCUUGCAAUGGUGGGUAAGAUUGUGCACCUUUGUGAGUUUUAUGAAUGCAAUCUGUUUAUAAAGAAGCAGAAGUUCCAGCACACUUCAGUGCCAUAUUUGCUGUGUUACAGCCAGUGGAUCUUCUUUCCAUCAAGUGUUUUAUGUUAACAGCCAAGGAAUCACACACUUGCCUUCAAAUUCGACUUUGGUUCCUUGGCAUGGUACUCACCAAGAUUUUUGUGAUUGUGAAGAGAUACUGGCAAAUGUUAAAAAUAACCUCCUCUGGUGCCUAUAUUUGUGUUAUCUGUUCUCAGUUGAUAUGAGUUUAGCUGAACAUGAGACAUGAUUAAGCACUGCCCUCUGAAAUGUUUUCUUUCCCUUGUUUUAUGAGAGUAAUCCCAUUUCUUUUAGAAGCAAGUGAAUGGCAGGCCAAGGAGCCCAAAUGAGCAGAUGGUAUUUGAUUUCACAAACCAGGUAUUCAUGUUAUGAUGCAUUUCUAAGAAGCAGGACAGGGCGCUAACGCUGUGCAGAUCAACUCGGUUGUGCGUUUUCAAACAGUAGAUCAUCUGAAAUCAGAGCUAUAAGGCCAAGUGAAAUGCUGGUCCUGAUGGAACAGUUGGAGAGCUGGGUGUACCGGGGCACUCCCAGUUCAAAGGGAGUCUCCAAAGUUUCAAGUACUGCCAGCAUUUGGUUCCUUUCUUUGUUCAGCCCAACUGAUGCUGGUUUUGGCUACAUGGCAACUGUAAAGAGAGGAAAUGCCCUUUAUUUAAAUCAGCUCUCCCCCAUAAACCUUGGCUUCUUGUUUACCUUAGGUGAUCCUGGGUGUCUAGGAUGGACUAUAAUAGGAGUUUGAAGCAUGCAAAAAAAUUCAGAAGGCAGCCAGGAUUUUGGAACAGCAGUGCUGUGUAGUUGAAGAUUUCUGGAUGAAUUGGAGAUUUCUGUUGUACAGAACGUUAGAACUGCAAGGCAGUCAGAAGUUUUGGCUGUAUUCCUGUUCUGCAUAAUGAUGGGGACCAAUAAAUUCAGUUAAAGCUCUGAAAUUUUCUUACUCCAUGGGUCUACAACCAGGAAAAAACACCCCUCUGUUCAUCCACUACGUUCAGUUCUGCUCAGGCUGCUCAGAGUUUGCAUCUUAGGUUGUCAAACCUAUUGCGUGGAAAUAUUUUUAAACAUUUGGUUCAUCUUGUCAUUGAGCCAUAAAGACUUAACAUCUGUGCUGAUUUUUAUGAGGUCUGUGAUUAUUGCUGGAUUCUAGAUGGUACCCAUGCCCUCCUGAUAGCCGCUAGUUUAUAAUUUAGUGUAAGCCUGCACAUAUGCAUUUUCUUAGAAAGGAUGAAAUGGCUUUUUGUUACUCCUUAAUCCUACGUCAAAGGGUAGAAAACGCAAGGUUUUUUUCUCUGUGAGCUGGAUGGACAUCAGAGACUCUUCUCUUUCUUUGGGUCUCACAAUCCUGCUUUGAAAUGUCUUUUAAAGAGAUGAAAAGGGUGUAGUUGCAGCUUUAAAACCAUGAACUUUGCACAUUAUUGAAAUAAAUAGUUCCCCCUUUUAUUUUGGGGUCCACACUGGGAUAAUACACAGAAGCAAAAAAAAUAUGGAUGUCUUCUAUUUUAUUGUUUCCUUACAUCCCACUCCCCCCCUCCUUAAUUUAUUUUUGGGGUCUGGAAAGAAAAGCAUGCUGAAAAGCCCCAGUGUAUUGAUGUGUGAAAUUGAAGGAGUUGCUCACUUUUAUGAUGGAGCCACUGUGCCCUUUGACAGGGUUAACAUUAAAAGAAAUAUACUGGAAAACAUGCACCUAAGUAUGAAAAAUUCCUUAAAUUCAGGGUGUGUUCAUACAAAGUGAAGUUUCUACAGUGUGGAAAUCAUUAAACCUGAUCCAGAAAAAAUGCGAGGUGCCCCAGCCAUUGAGAUGUGAAUCUCUUUAAUCCACACAAGCAUUAGAAAAAUCUGAAACAUGUGAAAGUUCAAAAGCUGCAAAGCCAUUACAUGACUUCUUAUUCAUUUCUCAAAUAUUGUAACUUUCAAUUGAACUGUGAAAAGACUUUUUCUUGUAUUUUUUUUCUUUUCAUGAGCAAUAGAUCAGUCACUCACUAAUAUGUUACUGCACAUUCUGAAUCUGGAAGUUUCACUUGGUUAUGUCUACUUGGAUAUAAUUUUUUGAUUUAUUUUAGAGCAUUUUAUGUAGCAUUUCAAUGGUUGGUAACUUGCAGCUUUUCAGCAGCUGCUUUUAGGGAGGGGGAAAAGGGCAAGACUGAUUCAAUUUUUAAUUUUUUUUUUAAGAUCCCAAACAAUUUCACAGGACAUUUAGAGGUAACUUUAAUGACUAGCUCUAACUUUGCAUGAUACGUAUGCAUGCUAAUUAAAAACCAAACCAAACCAAAGUCUAACAAAACUGAAGCAACACAAAAUACUUUUUUUCAUCAGAACUUUGCAUCUCUGAAGUACACCAGGAGGACCUUCAAAUCUAGUGAAAACUUACUUCACAGAAAACAGUAAAUUACUGUUUGCAAAAGGACAGACUUGGUCAGUAACAGAAAUACUUAGCCCAAGGAUUUCCCACAACCAAGACCCUUCUAAAGUGCACAUAUGUCUAACUCCAAGGGCCAGAGUAUUCAUGCCUGGUCCCAGGCUGUCUCCCUGCUUCUGCAGUAGCCAAAACUCCUGCAGAGGCUUGGGCAGUCUGACAGAUCUGGCUUUCCCUCUAUGGGAGUAUUAAUUUGUUUUGCAUCUGCUAUUGUAACUUUAGGCUCAUUUUUGAUCCUUUUGUCCUUUCUGUGGUCACUUAUACAGCCCUAAAGUUUUCAAAUAGUUGUCUUUCACUGGAGUGUGAGUCGUGCUUUAGGCUGUUUGCUUAAAUGCAGUACUUGUUGAGAUAAAGCUGCUGGGAAAGGGAGGGCGUCCCAUAUGUCUAAAUGGUUUUGUUCUAGGAGCUGCCAGGGAUGUACUGUUGCGCUACAGUGUCUGAAACAAUAAUAGAUCUUCACAUAUAGGAUAUCAGGCUUUCUUUAAGGUAAAAAAGAAUAGAAAGUGUCAUACUGAUUUGCCAUUUAAAAAUCAGCCACAAAUUUUUGUCAGUGAAACUCUUGUGAGAAGACAGUGUAAGUACUAAAACCAGUUGGAUUUUCAAGUGGCAGGCCACUGUAGAAUCUGACAAAGAGAUUUUUUGAGUCCUCUUACCACAAAAAAUUUUAAAAAGACAGGGAGAGGCCUGCUUUCCACAUAAAAAUAGUUGUCAACCUGACUUUCAUUGACUUGCCAAAAGAUGUAUCAGAGGGGCUGAGGUAAUCCACUAAUUUCUGAGAUGGUGAAGCAGAAAGGUGCAAAUGGGCUAGAGAUAGGGGCAACUUCAGGAGCAGAGGGAAAGGUCAGCUGAGAACUCUAGUAUCUCUAGAGGAGACUACAUUCUCAAGCAAUAUUCAUCAUUUAGAGUUAUAAAACCUAAGAAAAACAAAUGUCUCAAACCUGUGCCAAGACCCAAAGAUUCUGAAGGUAAACUUUAGAUAAGAAUUAGCUGUAUUCAUUCUGUCCUUUGCUGCUGAGGCCUCACAGCACAACAAAGGACUAUUGAUCAAAAAGGUCAUGUAGAAAAGGGCAGGGUUUGAAGAAACAGAAUUUAAAAAAAAAUCCCAACUGAGACAAGUGCAAAAAUAGUAACUCAGAGAUGAAUGGAGUUCUGUACAUCAAGCGUGUCUUGUAUGCAUUCGUCUGCACAAAUAUAGUGAAUAUCUAUCAUUUUCUUGGUUUGCACAGUGACAUCCCCCUGUAGUUUCCAGAGCUUGAAUUGGUGAGUAAUUACAUGUAUCCCUCUAAUUAAAGUGGGGAAAGUAGCAAAAGACAUGGUGUUGCGCUUGGGUUUUCCACUCGGUGCUGUUGUACUCUACACAUCUUGCACAGAUACUUAAGGCUGCUCACACAUAAAGUGGCAGCCAGUGGUGAUUGACCUAUUAUUGAAGUAUUUAGGAUUCCCAUGGUAGCAGCAGCAGCUGCUAAGGGAUAUUAUAUGAACAAGCUGCUGUUAUCUUGAUCUUCUUGACCAGAAAGGUUUUUUCUCUUCCUGGAGGUUACGUGGUUAAGGGGAAUAAUUCUUUGUAGCUGAGAUCUGCAACUUGUCAGCCUCUCAUAUCCUGAAAAAUAUUAAUAAAGGGCAAUUUACUUAUGUGAUUGCUGUUGGAAAAAAGGCUUUAAAAUACAAGAGAUUCUAGUGUCAUCUGCAGAUGGCAAUCUGCUAAGUGUGUUUGUGUUUUGCGGGGUGAGAGGAAAAAGAGCACUCCUGUGAGUGACAAGUGCCAAUCUCAUAAUGUCAUGUUAUUGUGGAUGAAUAAAGAAAAAGGCCCAUUCUAUUAUAUCUAACUAGAAAGCAACUUAACAAAGGAAUACACUGUGCUGUUAGUAAGAGGAAGGAUAGACUUGUGGUUAGGGCACAGGGGUUGCUGAUCCAAAUUUCUGGCUCUGCAAGAGACUUCCUUCAUGGCCUUGGGCAACUCAUGUAUUGCCACACUUCAAACUGGGAGUAGCACCCAAACUGGAGAGAGAUUUCCUAGAGAGAUACCUUCCCAUUUCAGUGCUCAAAUGGGUACCCAAGUGGACAGAUCUUCAAGAUGCCGCAAAAAGAUAUUUUGAAAAUGUGCAAUAAAAGUAGGAACUAUAGGGUUUGGACUUUUUUCUUCUUGUUUCUUUUCUAUUUUCCCCUCCCCCCCAUUUUUUUUUCUUCUUCUUUUUUUCCUGUGAAAGUCUGGCUCUGAUGCUGGUUAUUGAGCAUUUGAGAAUCUGAUCCUUGACCUCCCUCGGGAUUCUGACUCUUAGUCAUUUUAGGGCCUGGUUUCCCAGCUGAAAAUGGAGAUAACAAUGCCUUCUUUAUCUUACUGUCUGCCAGUUUUGUCUCUUUAGGCACUGAAGCAUGGGGGAGAGGGAUUGUCUUCUAUAAUAUACAGGUAUUUCACCCAAAUCUUUGAGGGGGAUUGAAAGAAAUGGGAACUUUAGGCAUUAGUGUGAUGAAAAGAAGCACACAGGUGGUGGUAGAAGCAGCCAUUUUGAUUUUUAAUAAGUGGUGAGCUCAAUUCAGUAGUGUUAAAGACUGUUACAGAAAGAAAAGACAAUUUGGGUCUGAGUCAGGAUUCCUUCAAGACUUGGGAAUGUUGAGAUUGAAACUUGUGGGUUGAGCACAUCUCUAACCAGAGUUAGAUUAGAGUCUGUGUUGAAGUAUGUUUUCAAUUAUAUUCUGUUAGAAAAGUAAUGCUGAAAUUUAUCUUAAGUUGUCACAGUGCUUCAAAGCAUGGGCUUUUCCUCUCUCUAAGUCCUUGAACAGACGCAGGAUGUGUUGCGGCAAAACUGUUUCCAAUUAAGUUGAUGCAUUCUGUUCUUUAAUGUUUCAGGACUUUAAGUUAAAGAAAAAUCCUGUAGCCAGAGUUCAGAAGAAUGAUUAAGAUAAAAUUGCCUGGAAAGCAGUCAUUUGCUUCAGUUUCUGUGGCUGUACCGUGUCAGGUCAUCAGGGUGACACAUAGCCAUGAACUUCACUGACAUCCUGCUGACUAACACUGACUGGGGAUCCAGCUCUUCUCUGGGGCGGGUCACUGAAUGUGAAAGAGGGACUUGAAGCAUCUGGGUUGAGGGAAAUAAGUUAUUCCAGCAUAUUUCUCUGUUGAUUGUAUCUGCUGUAAAUUUCUGCUGCAUUAAGUGUGACUUGUCUAGCUGAACAAGUUUUUGGAGUUCCGAGGGUUUUCCCCUGACUAACUGAAGCAUUGCUCUUCAUUACCCAUCAUUUCGUGGAGUGCUAUGCUGAAAACUUCUGUCGUGCUGAAGAUUAAAAAGGGAUUGAGGGGGUGUAAUGGGUUUUUCAGAUAAAUGUAUGUACACACACAGCACAUUAAUUGUUCAGGUUCAGGUCUCCAACUCAAGACAAAUACUUGCACGUGUACAUUUGACACUCUUAUUGUCAGUUCUUGGAGCUGCCUCUGCAGGUAUCCCUGAACAACCCGCUCUAGCAGUCUUCUGUGUGUUCUCUCUCAUGCAUGCUGCCUCCACUCCUGCAACCUGCUGGGCAAAGACUUCCCUGCUGAACCCUUGCAAGCCAGGUUAUGCCAGAACUUCAUUUGACUCACUGGUGUCCACUGCUUUGCAAUGACUGGCCUGAUCAAUUCUGUUUUCUGUCCAGGACAAAUUUAGGUCCACUCAGAAUACACACUCAAGCAGGCUUUGGCAAAGAAUAAGGUGUAUUGUGGAUAAAGAAGUUACUGAAGAAAUUCUCCUAAUAUUGUCCACUUGGUUGGAAGAAGUUUGCGCAGGCAUUCAGUAAUGCAUUAACCAUCCACAGGAAGAUAUAAUGAAAAGUCUUCAUAAAUUACUGAGUAGUUCUGUUGAAGAUCAGAAAGUUUCUUCAGCUUCUUUUCACAAAUAUAAGCUUACCUGUGUGACCCUGCAAAGUCUUUUCACCAUUACUGCAAUCUGUCAGUGUGUGUAGUGACAGGGCUGGUAAGAAGAUAAAAGCUUGGAUUUCAGUUUCCUACUUUUUUUUUGAUGUGUUUAAUACAUGUAUUAAAAAACAAUCAGGUAACUUAGAAGUUUAAGUGUCAAGUUGGUCAUAACUGUGAAGCUGCUUACACUUGGCUCUCUUAAAACUAGAUCUGACUUACUUUGGUAUUCUUAAAAGAUCUGUUUGAAAUCUGGCACCUGAAAAUAUAAGAAAAUAUCUAACAUAACAUUAAGACACACUGUAAUUCAGAAUGGUGUCCUUCUCUAGGCUUCAAAAGGCAGGUCAAACCUCUCUUUCAUCUAAAAUUUUAAUUGCAGGCUGUUUUAAAUAAACUUCCUGGACACAGAAGAUACUGGAACUUUGAUGUAUUUUGAUGUAUGCACCACGGGAUAAUUGUACUAUUUCUGAAUGCUAUUUGGUUGUAUUAUCUAUGACAAGUAUGCUGUUUCCCUUGUCUCUGUUUAUAAUCUUAGCAGUGUGUUUUUAUCAUAGAAAGAGGAUAUGCUUUUCUCUUAGUAUAAGCAAGAAAACCCAAGAAAAAUAAUCCAAAUUUGACAUGGAUCCCCUUAGAACUUGAGGAAAUAUUAUGCAUGCCCUCUUAAUGAGGGGUAAAAAAUGACAUUUAUUUUGCUUAGGAAAAAAAUGUGGAAUAUUAGAUCUCGUUUUGGAAAUUUAGGCUUUGGGCUGUCAUGCCUAGGAGGGUGCGAAUUUUGUGUUGUGUGUAGAACUGGACACCACUUUGAAUUAAUUCUUGACUGGCUGAGCGUGUUCUGUCCACUAUCUAAACCAUAGCAGAAAUCUAUUUCAGUUUGGUGUCAAGCAGGGUCUAUUUGAAUGAGCAGAUUUUAAAAGAGAGAGAGAAAAAAAUUAAACAUAUUAAAUGACAGAGUAGCAAAAUCAUUUGCUGGAAAUGAAUGAGUGCCCAUCUUAGAAAGAAUGAAGGAAACUUCCAAACCAAUGAAACUAAGAUAUUUUUAUUUAAAGUCUAGCAUGUAUGUAAGAGCUUAAUUGACAUGCCUUGUUAUUUACUCUGAGAAUCUCUUCUGAAAUUAUUGUGUUACUCCUGUCAAGGUACUAGUUCCCUCCAGACAGAGGACCAUAUGACUUGCACAACAAACACUAUGUAUUGCCCGAUAGACGCUUCAUGGAGAAGUAAAACAUGUUAAUGUCAUCCUUUCCUGCCUACAGGCCUUAAAACUUAUUUAGAGGAGAAAGCCCAGCUGCUUUUUUUCCCAAAGAGCAUCAGUGUUUUUAUUACUGGCGACGUGACUCAGCUCUAAUACCAGUGACCUAGAUCCUUGCCAUAAUGGGCGUUAUCUCAAUAGUCAUAGCGCAGUCAUUUGAAUGCUUCAGUUUUGCACAAGUGAGACCAAAUACAGAGAGAUUAUACAAUAGCAAGCAGAUCCCUAAUAGUCAGAACUGCUGUGCUCUAUUGACAUAUGGCUUGCGAGAGACAGUUUAAAUAUUAUCAGUGGCUUUUCAAGUUUUGAGUAGAUAGGGCAUAAUGUAAGUGGUAGGGAUGAGAUAGUGAAGUUAUGGAUUUCACAAUUGCUUAGCUUAAAUGAGACUAUUUCCAGCAGCAAUUGACAUUUAUUAUAAUAAGAAAAAAGACAGGUAGAACAUGACAGACAGACUGCCUGGUCAUCUUUUGGCAGAAGGAUGGCAUUUUGAUCCAUUCCUUGUUGACUGGCAUAAUACACUUUUACUCACCUGCUGAUUGCUGCUUUCAGUACUGACUUGAUCUCAAGCUUAUUUUGACAGAAAAAUGUGUCUGUUUUGACAAAAGUGCACUUUCACAAGGCAUUUGUGGCCAACACAAUACUUGUAGGAGUGUGAAGAUUGCCAGAUGACUUCAGGUGUAGCCAGCAAACACUGACCAGCAUGUUGUCCCUCAGUGAGCUAUUCAGCUUCCUAAAGUUACACAUGCACCAGAAAAACUUUGAUGGCUCAGGGAUUAAAUUACUUUCAUUUCUUUCUUUCACCCUCUCUUUCUUCCCUUUUCCUCUCCACCCUCCAUCUGGCCUUCCAAGGAAUGUAUAUUGACUUUUUGCCCUAGAUUGUCACUGAGACAAUGAUAAACAGACUUUCUGUGUGGCAUUGUUUUGUAAAGGCCAGAUUUUUUAUAUCCUUUUUCUAAGUGCUCUCAGGUUUUGAUCAUUUAGGUUAAAUACUUUCAGAGAUAGCAUCUCAAUGUUUUAAGGUGCUUGAAUAGUUGCACUAAUUUAAGAUUUUAUAAAUAAUUACUAUAUUGCAUAAAAAAAUGCCUACCUUUUGACUGAGUUAGGACUGCAUCUAAAGGACUGAAAAUAGAUCCAUCAGUGCCUAAGGGCUUUAAGUUGAGUCUUUACAUGAAUUCAUGGAUGAGUUUACUUGGAAAACAUUGACCGGCACUGGAAAACAGAACCUGGACAAAAUUAACAGCAAAUCUUCUCAGCAAAGUAGAUCUGUUGACUGUCAGCUGCCCUAGAUUUUAAGAGUGCAAAACCGCUCAGACUGUUGCUGAGCAUCAGUGGCUCAGAGAGUUGGGGAAAUUAGCCUCUGGUUGUGAGCAUAAUUGGAUUCCAUUUGGAGAACUUUCAAAGUUUUAAUAUUUUAAAUAUUUGAGUGAAGGAAAAGUGGUUUGUUUUCAUUGCUGUGUCUGUAGGGCUGGAGGGUAUUUUCGUUUUCUGGUUUUAAUGCCUAAUUCUCCUCAGAAGAUCUUAGCAUACAUGCUGCUUUAUAAAGGCCACCUUUUGUAGUCCUUAGGGAAGCACCUACCUCCAUCCCCCCUUUUCCUUGUUGGAACACCCUGUAAGUUGGACAAUAGAAGCUGGUACAGUGAGAGCAGUGACUCCAAAUGCAGAAACAGAUAUCACCUCCAAACCUGCCAAAAGCACAUGUCCUGCUUCAGCAGCCCUCCUUUUUAUCAUAGUAAAGUUUCAGUAAGGCUUGAGAGUAUCGGAAAAGUAAAACCAGGAUUAUUAAAAAAAAAAAAGCCAUAAAAAACUCCCACUACUUCCUUUUGAGAUUCUUUAAUAUUUCCUGCAUGUCUGUAGAGGGCUUGUAUUUGUGGCAGUAAGUCUAUUUUAAUCUCAGAUAUAGGGCAAAAAAAAAGUUUUAUUUUUUGUUUUUAACCUAAAGUGAGUUAAUGAGAGAUCUCGCUUUCUUACAGACCCCAAACCAAUACAGAUAAUAAUUCUCAUCCUCUUUGAUUACUAUUUCCAUUACUUCAUGAAUACCUGGUAAUGAUCCUUCAAUCCUACAUUUGCAUGGACCACUACCCAUUCCUCAUACACUCCAAAAGAUGUCCAUCAGGACAAACAUAUUAAUUAGGCAGAAUUGUGUAAGCUUUUUUUCCAGAACCACUAGGGCCAGUUAGUCAUAAGAUAUUAUAUGACAAAAUUUUGUAAGUUAAAAAGCAUAUCCUCAAUCAUUCUUUCUCAGAAAAAGAGAGGCUUUAAAUACAAAGAGGAAUUAGAUUUCCUGAGAUCCAGAACCAAAACAUUCCAUUUAGAAGUAACACAGAUUCCUGCAAUUAAUAAUCUAACUGAAAAGGCUUAUAUACACGUGGAUGUGCAUGUAUGUGUAUGCAUCUUUAUCUGUCCCUGCAUUUCCUAGAAGUUGGUUUAGGAGUUCAGACUGGAACAAAUCUGGCUGUUAGAGCUCCUCUGUUUUGUGAGGCAUUGAAAGGCCACAAAUGCUAAUCAACAUAGGUAAAACAAAUCAACACUUCAUUGAUCACAAAAGAUUUCAGAUUUGAUGUGACAUGUAGGGGUAGAAGAGCUGCAUCCAUUUAGGUGUCAGUGAGGCUAUAAAGUCCAGAGCACAAAUGUACUGCAAGGGAGAAGGAACGAAAAACCACUUGUGUGCAUAACAUUCAAAAGGACAAGUGAGGGAUCCAGAAGGAAAUAUGAAGAAGAGAACCAUGAAAAAUGUUUACGGUCCUGAAAAAGGAUUAAAAUGAAUGUUCAGAAUAAUGCAUUUUCCUAGUUACACAAUACAAACAGCACGGGAAUUUUGAAAAUUGAUUCCUAGGUAUGUGGAAACUAUUCCUGAUUACGUUAACUCAUGCUAUGUGGCUUAAAUGAGGCUGUGAUAGAAAUGCAGUCUGUGUCAGAGGAGAGCAUUUAAUUAUGUAAAUCUGAUUAAAAGCUACUGCAUUGCAACAAUGAAAAUAACUAAAACAUCAGUUAAAAAAAAAAAAGAAUAAUUUUUAAGUGCUGAAGAUGUCAGGGUUAAUUAUUUGAUUUUAAGGUUGAAUUCCAAGUGCACUCCAUCAUUCAUAUUUCCUUUUUAUGGAGAGUUUGUUGAAAAAAAUCAGAGAGGGGAGGAAAUAUAAGGGGGUAAAAUUGGUGUUUCUAGAAGAUCCCAUAAAAUUGUGUACUUUUUUUCUACUUGAAAUUGAUCUGCCUUGACAUACAAGAGGUAUUAAAUUUUAUUUCUGGACUUCUGACUCUAUACUUCCAGUAUAAAAUUUUACAUUCAGUAUUCUCUCCAGACCUACAUAAAUGCAUUUCUCUUUACCCAUCACCGUACAUAGAACAAUGAACGAUGAUUAGACUGACAGAGCAUCACUGUUUGCUCAGCAACAACGCCCAUCCACCCCAAACCCUUUCUUUACUUUGUAUCAUCUUCCCUCUUGAACACGGUAAUACCCUUUUCUAAAAACAAGUAAGUUCUGUGAUCACUUUUGAGUAGAGAUUUGCUUCAAUUUAGUAUUUUGAUUUGAAAUUAAAGGAUGUUUCUUCAGUCAAAUUUCUUUUUCUUUGGGAGAAUAGGUGAAGAUUCCUCUGAUCAAAGUUUGUGAGGCAGACUGACUUCAUGAUGAAGCUGCUGAUCUUGGAGAAAAAGUGCCUGCUGGCAGAAAUGGACCUAAGCAAUUCUUUCAACAGUCUACAGGCACCUUAACUUCUGUAGAUAAAACCAAGCUUUUCCAAUGUUACUAGAUGUAAGAGAAAUGAGGUGAUCUCAUUUAUUUUCAGUCAAAUGAAUGAACUGUGCUCUUACGCAUAUCUCAGUAUGCUGGUUUUAGCCAAGAUUUCACUCAUAUAAGUAGAAACCUAAAGAGGAAUUUGGGCUAUUUGUGACAUUGAGCCAAAUUCCUUUCUGACUGUCCUCUGGAAUAAUUUUUGCUGCUUUUGCACCUCGUUCCCCAUUCCUGAUUGCUAUCAGGUAGACAAUUCCUCUUUUUUUUUUCUUCAGACUCUUUAAUUUUUACCAACACAAAUUCAAGCCCUUUUUAGCAGAUAUUUUUUCUGAUUUUUCCAGCCAAAGAAGGAUCUAAAGCAAACAAAAAAAGAAAUCAUUGACACAGAACAAGUUGUGGAAUUUGCUGCAGCUGGCAAUUUUGGAAAACCAAUGUAUAAGAUUUUAAAGUAAGAAUAUCCAGGUUUGUACAGAACAGGCCCACAGUAAUGUUCAGUGUGAUGGUUGCAUUCACUAUGCACUCCAGAAUGUUCAACACCUCAUAUCUACAGAGGACCUGAGAAUAAGAGAGCUGCCUGUCUCUAAUGGCCUCUUCCCAAUCAUGUCCCACUUGCCAUUUUUAGAAACAUGACAAUGGACCAGAUAUUUGUUUAGAGCAGACCAAUGCUUCAGAUCCUGUGUAAAGCUUUCCUUCUCCCCUCAAGGUCCAAACUUGCCUGCACUGCGUUGCCAGUGUCCAGUUUAUGCUGGAAGUUUUUUAUGGCAGAGGUAAUACCUUCUUUUUCAUAUCUACCUUGCAUGUAAAGUUGAGGUCAUAGAUAAACAUGACACCACAUACAACGAAAAGAACAGUUCUGGGAUCGUGUAAGUGAGAAGCAGGAUGCAUUCUCUGACAUUUGUUUGUGGUUUACAUCAUCUGUGUUUACAUCAUCUAUUUGUAGGGAUUUCCAAUUUUUCUCAAGGUAGACUGAAAUGGAAGAUCUUUUUGUGACAGUCUGAGAUGCUUUUCUUAUGUAGAUGACUUUUUCAAGUCUAAUGUUUAAUUCUGGAUUGGGAAGUGGUUUCUGCAGCUUAGAAAAAACCAAGUGAAACUUGGGUAAUUUUUUUGCCUUUAACAUAUGCUGACAUGGAUAUGUCUCAAAAAUAGAGAGGAAAUAAAGGAUCUAUCAUCAACAAACUCAAGGACUGCAGCCUGGAAAAUUCUUAUUUUCAAUGUGUUCUGUUGAUAAUGGAAUGUCUUACCAGUAGAGAGCAAAAGCAAAAUGAUGAACACCUGUUUUACUGGAAUACUUUUAAAUAAAAAAAUCUAGUAUUAAGUUGUCUAAAUAUUAAUUAUUGUAUGUUUGCACAGAUAUUAAGGUAUGCAUGCAUUUCAGGAGGACCACUCAUGGACGUUAUCUGAAGGGCUGACAGGCUAAUAUUGCAGAGUGACUGAACUGAGAAUGGUUUUAUUGUAGUUGUUGAAGUUCAGUGUACAGAACUGGCUUUGGGUCCAGGCAGAGGACAGGUGGAAGACAACUUGGUAAACUGCACGUUAGACAACUGAUAUAUAAAGGAUAUGCAGGAGGGCAACCAUGCUGAAACUGCUGAAAUUAGCCUUCAGACAGGGACUCCUUAAAUGCCAGGGGAAGUUUCGAACAUGGGUGUUACUGGUAUUAAUAUAGUAUGUUCUACUGUCUUGAGCUUAUGAUGGCAGUGCCUUACCUGUGAGAUGUGGAAAAUGACUCCACCACCCAUGUGCUUGUAGCACAGUGACUUGCAACAUGCCAAGCUGCCACUCUUUUGUAAGUGAGAAGUAUCAUUAAAUGUGGUGAGCCAGUUUUCCUCCUAUAGGUUCUUGGAGUAGCAGCUACAAAUUCUGUUCUUGUGUAGUGUGGGUGUGCAAAGGGGAGUGACACUCUUUAACAACAAAUGUACCAAUGCUCACCAAGGGCUGUAUAAAGAUUUGGUUUUUUUGACUUAGAAGUCAUUUGCAGAACUUCAACCUGGAUUACUUGAAAUAAUAGAGCUGUCACCAAUGAAAUAUUUUGUAAAAGCAAGUGCAAAUUGCACCCUUUUCAAGAGCCUGCUGGGUAAUAGCAGAAACAGAACAAUAGAAAUGAGGCAGACCAGUGAGAGGAAGCAAACAUAAAUCUAAGAUGCUGAAUUCUAGUGAGACAAGAGUAGCUUGCAGAGUAGCUCUUAAUUUAUCUCCUGUCUCCUUCCCCCAGUUUUUGCAUUAUUCUAUAGGGAAUCCCAUUACUGAUUUAGAUCAAUAGCAGGCUUCCCAAGGUAUUUGUGCUCCUGUGUAACAUCUUUGUUGGCAACAGGGAUGGUAGGAUUGAGUGUACCCUCUGCAAGUGUGCUGAUGACAGCAAGCUGUUGAUAUUCUGCAGGAAAGGGAUGCCAUCCAGAGGGACCUUGGCAGGCUUUUAAGAGGUGGGUCUUUGCAAACCUCAGGAAGUUCAACAAGGCCAAAGAAUAGCUCUCAAAGUGUUUGCAAGGUCCUUUGGUCGGAGCAAUCCCAAGUACAAGUACAGGCUGGGUAGAGAACAGAUUGAGAGCAUCUGUGAGGAGGACUUUGGGGUGUUGGUCGAUGAGAAGCUCAAGAUGACCUGAGCUUCCAGCUCAGAAAACCAAGCCUGUCCUGGGCUGCACCAAAAGCAGUGUAACCAGCAGAUCUAGAGAGGUGAUCCUCCCACAAUACUCUGCUCUUGUGGACCCUACCCGGAGUGCUGUGUUCAUCUCUUUGGCCUCCAAAAAACCAGUUGGAGUGAGUCCAGAGGAGAGCCACAAGGACAAUUGGAGGUCUGGAUUACCUCUCCUAGAAGACAGGCUGAGAAAGUUGGGGAUCUUCAGCCUGGAGAAGGCUCCAGGGAGACCUUAUAGCAGCUUCCUAGUACCUAAAAUGGGCCUACAAGAAAGUUGGAGGGGGACUUUUUACAAGAGCAUGUAAUGACAGGAAAUGGAAAUGAAGGAAUAGCUCUCAAACUGUUCACAAGCUUUAGAAAAACUGUAUAAGAUUUUGCAUAUGGCUCAAGGAAUUAUUGAUAGGUUUUCAGGCAAUGUUAUGAUUCAUAAUUCCACUGUUGGAAUGUCUAAGUUUGAUUUUUGCUGCUUAGAAUUAUUUUGAAACAAGGGUGCUGUUAGGAACACCUCUUGUACAAGAGUCCUGAAGAAGGAUGAAUUUUAUCCAUUCUGAAUGUCACAGAAAAUCAGUUUCCGUCUUUUUCUGCCCUCAAAAAUUCCUGGCUUCCUGGUAACUCUUAGGCUUAACCUUUUAAUCACUUCACAGCAUGUAGAGAUGAUGGGUAUGGGUCUAGAAUAUUUCCCCGGCCCAUAGGCAUUUUCACAGUGCAGCUGUUGAUCAUGUGAACAUAUUCAUGUUUCCUUCACAGCUGACACCCUGCAAAUGUCUGGCAUGCCUGGAAAUGGCAAAAGUGUUCAGAGCAAAAGGAGCUUUCUUCUUAUAGGGAUGGCAUGUCAGUUUUCUGGAGGGUUAGGGAAUUUGAAGUGAAAAUAAGGAUUUCUUCAAUUACAUUAAGACAAUACAGUCUAUCAAUGAAUAAAAAGUGUUUUGUGCUAAAGUAUGGGUCUAGGAAUACAGACAACAGAAAACCAAGUAACUUUAUUUUUAUUCCCUUAGAAGUAAAGGAUUUCAGAGCAAUAAAGUUAAAUGUUUCACAGAUUUAAGAUUUUUAGCUUGUCUCACCUCACUUUUUUUUUUUGUAAGAGAUGCCUCUUUAAAACUCUGCCUCUUUUGCUGUGAAGUUUAAUAAAUUUUUGACAGCUGUCAGAGUAGGGAUGUGCUGAGAAUGCUGCCUAUCACACUGACCAACUGUGUCACUGCUUCUUUGUUCUUCCAUCUGUCUGUCUUUUUCUGUUUGUCAUUUUUUGUCCCACUCUCUUACUACAAGUGCCUUUCAGACAAGUAGCAUUUUUGCAAGGUGUUUCGUACAACAUCUACACAAUUGCUCCUGAUGCAUGUCAUCCCCCUGUGUUUUUUCUAUGUAUUCAAUUCUCUUUUCUAGCUAAAAAAAUCCUACAAGGUAAAAUUAGAUCAACCCCCUGCAAAACCAAAUAUAUGAAAUCUCAUAUGAAUGCAAUUAUAAUUUUGACAAGAGUCUAAAAUGUUUAAAGCAGAAUCUCUGAGGCAUUAACUUCUGUCAGUGCUUGCUUCUUCACUAAAGCAGAGCUCAUGCCUUUAUGCAAGGAUUGAACAAUCCAGUCAACUAAUUAAGUAUGCCUUCUGUCACUUUUUUGAACCCUUUCAUUUGAGGGUGCAUGAAUGUUUCCCUCUGUAACCUAGUGAACCUAAUAUAAGACAGUGAAUUGUCAUUUGAGCUAAUCUAACCAUAUUAUUUUCUCUGUUUAAGGAAACAGGGCUACAAGGACACAUUUAUUGCAUAUCAAAUUAUUCAGGUCUUUUGUCUGCAGUGAAGCUCAUUUUAACAAAAAUCUGAUAAAGGAAUAAAUAUGUAAUGAUGAGUAAAAUAAUGCAUACUGGAUAGAGAUGACAUAUCUAAUUCUGAUGUUAAUGGACUUAGUAUCAGAAGACAGACAAUUAUGCUUCUGUAAUCUGCAUUACAUAAAUCACCUGAAAGGAUAUGUUAGGCUUAUAUACCAGCAGAGUGGACAACUGUGUUCGAAGUUAAACCUUAGAACACAUAUCUGUUCCCACAAUCUUCCUAUCAUUUCGUAGUAUGUGAUCCACAACCACCACUGAACUAGUGAUCUUGCUCCAUUUUUUUCCAACACGAAGGAUCCAGUCUACUGUUGGAUUUCUGCUUGCCCACUGCCUUGCUGAAGCCCACCCUUUUUGGUACUUUUCGCACCAGUUCUCUCUGGCUGCUCCAGGGGGUGAGAUAACUGACUGCUUUGUGAUUGCAGCCUAUACCUACUUGAAUUGCGAAGAUGUGCCAUCCUUCCUACCACUGCUCUGUGGAUGUAUUCUUAUCCUGUUCUAAUGAGGCUUUUAAAGAUGAGAUGAGCCUUAAUAUCUGGGAAUAGUGUUUUCUAGAGUCGUGUAAGGCACAUAAGUACAUGGACAAAUGGAUUGACUCUACAGUGGAUGUCUUGUUUUUAGAGCUAUUGUCUUGGAAAUAGUCCUUGAUAUUUCAAGCAGUAUUUCCCCAUUUCCUAGAUAUAUUCUAUUUGUCAGACACAACCCAGCUUCAAAAUGGCCAGUUUCUAAUCACUGUGGUGUGCUGUAGGACCCUAAAUAUGUAGGGAAAUGGAUUUUCACCAUUUGAAAAAGUUUGUAUUUUGCUAAAAUAUUUUUUAAAACCCAAACCAAACCCACAAGCAAAGAACCCAAACCCUACCACUCCCAGCUCCCACCAACUUUCAGUAUGAGAAACAAAGCACAAUUCUUCUCUUAAACUAUGGCACAGUUCUUAUCUUAAACUAUGGGAGAAUUUACAUUUGUUUCUUGCACGUUGCAGUUUUAGAAAGGGAGAGAAGGGAUGGUAGAGAAGUGUCAGUCUCUGAAUAAAAAUUCCUCUUUCAUAUAUAAAAAUUCAUUGAGAAUGAAACAGAUAAAUUUUAUGAAGUCACUGUGAAGCAGAAAGAACAACUGCAAAGUAGCUGUGUAGAACAUUAGUAGUGAUUGUUUUGUUUCAUUUUGAUUAAAAAUUUUUUAAACAAACAGCAUGAUGAGAGUACAUAAAAAAAAUAUUUUACUGUAAAUACUAACAUGUUGGGACUGAUCUAUCUGUUGCUUGGCAGAGGGUAAAAACCCAAACGUAUAAUUUGGUAUUUCAGUGCGAAAUACCUUCAUACCGGGACAAUACCUUAUAUAUUUUUAUAAGAAAAUAUGUUAAUUAUUUAAGAAAAUAUAUAUUUAUGCCUUCAUAUAUAUAUAUUUAAGGCAUGAGAUCUCGUCUCACAUAAACUCUUGUUUGUAUGUCCAAUCCCAUCUUUCUUAAAUCAUGCCAUAGCUUUGAGGGAAAAACUGUAUACAACGGAGAGUUUGGAGGUUUGAAUAAGUCAGCAGUAAUAAGACAGUUUAAUAUUGUGCAUUAAUGAACUAGAAUGAAAAUAAAUGUCAGCUGAAUAAUGAAAUAUAUAUACAAAUAAAAAAUAAUAAUAGAAAGCAAACAUCAGUAAUUUGUACCCACACAUCAAUGCAUGAAAGCGAAUGAAGCAGAGAGGACAGCAAUGCCCACAAUGAUAUCCAGCAAAGAGUUACUGCUUCACACCACAUUCUGAGAAGUCAUUAGAUAACAUUGUGAUUCAGUAUCUUAGUCAUUCCUUUCUGUACAUUACCAUAGCAUGAUCUGCUAAGCUUUAAAAGCAGUUCUUUUGUGUUUCUUUUUGUUCACUUCUUGCUAUGUGUUCUAUUUUGUAUCAACGAGGAUAGAACAUUUCAUACAGAUUCAUCUGGGGAAGGGCUGUUUUUCUUUAAGGGAAUGGUCAGGUUGUCCAGGAUUUUUGUGUUCACAGAAACAGGACUUCUCAGCUUGUGUCUGCAUGAGAUGAACUACACUGUGCAUCUUUGUCUUCACCUUCACAUGGGGUUGUUACCUUCACCUCUCUCUGUCACUAGCUUCCAGGCACAUGUUGUCUCCUAUCCACAUGCAUUCUAUCAUGUCUCAUUCUUUGAAUAAAACCCAUGUUUGGAAGAUGGGAAGUGAAGGCCAGGACUGAAUUCUGUAGAUACAUAUAGAGGAGGCACUCUUUAUGCUCUUUAUGCAGAUUUACCCCUUCCUGCAUUCAAAUGGUUGUAGGAAGCAGCUGCCUUGAUUUCUUCCAUUUGUGCAAGGCUGUACCACAUUCAGCUCCAACUUUAUAGGAGCAGAUUCUAUCUCCUGCAGCAGGUGUAGCAUGGAUUCAGAAACAGGACCAUGCAGUAGCUUGGAUGGACUGCAGUUGGGUACUCCAAAAUUAGUAACACUGUAAGAGAUGGAACUUUGCCUCCAAAUUUUCUGUUUUCCCUCUGGAUUUACUGUGGUAAGAACUGCUGCUCUGUGGAAGAAUUUGAAUUAAUCUCAGGGCAUGGUGCUUUUCUUUAGGUGUCCUCUGUUUGGAAAAGGCCACUAAACCCUUCUAAUGAAAUAAGUGCAUAUCAGUAUUUUCACACAAAUACAUUUCCAGAAGAGGUGUGUUUGCCAUUCUACUGCUUAAGAAACCUCUUCAGUAUCUAUUAGCAAGUGUAUAGACAGAUUUAGAGUCAAGAACUGAAUUUUCACAAUUCGAACCUGGAGUUUCUUGAUUAAAAUGUAUUUCAGUAUAAAAGAAAUCUGCAGUGACUGACCCAAAAUGACUGCGUUUUUGAAAGCUUGAUUUGCGUAUCACCUAAACUUGCUUUUGUCUUUGCUUGCUUUUAUGUGAGAGAAUGGUUAUCUUUGCACUAUAGUUGCACAAUUCCUUUAUAGACUGCUCUUCUGUGACAAGUUAACAUCGCUGCUACCAGCCCAACGGAGUGGCACAAGUUGAAUCCCAUGCUAAUGUCUGGUGGGUAUCAAGACGGAGGACAAUCGCAGUGCAGAACCUCAUAUAAGUUGUGCAUCCAGUCCUAGGAUCCAUAUAAAUCAGAUUUUUUUGUAACUUUGCUUUGAACCUUCAAGGGAGCUACACAAUAUUUGGGUUAUCUGUAGAAUACAUUGAGAGACAGAAUAUUAAAUAUUCUGAGGGAAGAAUGAUGAUCCCCCCUUUACUCUGUUCUACACUGGCAAAGUGCUUUCUUCCCAUGAAUCAUCUACUCUGUUUUACACCAAUUUUCACUUAGCAGUCUAUGGCCUGACCUCUGCUACUGAAACCUGUGACACAGUUAGCUGGUACAAGGCAAUUUGGGAUGCAAAGAACAAAACUUUCCUGCCUUCUGUGUUCAAGUAAGUCAGGUCACUGCCACUGCCAAUAAUGUUCUCCUAUGUAUUUUUUAUACACAUGAACAUCAUGCACUUGUAUUGGCAUUCCUUGGGAAUUAAAAUAUGACAUUGAUUGUUUAUGCCAUAUUGCAUUAGCCAUCCCACUGCGGUCAACAGGUGUAUUCACACAAGGAAGGAAUCCAGGUCUGAGCCUUUGAUUCCUGUAGCAUUCUUCUUUUAACCAAACCAAAAUAUUACUCUGUGCUUAGAUUAUGUUCAGUUGCAGCUGAGAGAUGAUCGUUUGUCUUUCAGAUUCCAUUCACAUGACUCUUUUUUCAUAACUGAUAUACGUUAAUUUAUGCUACAUGCUCUCAGGACUAUGUCAUCUGAGAAGUAAUAUUUAGAUAGCCAAAUAUCUGACACAAAAAGCAUAUGACUAUCACACACACACAUUUAAAAGUCCAAGAAAUCACAUCUCCCAGUUGCUCAUAUCUUUCACUGUUUGUGUUGGUUUACUUUCAGUAAAUACAACUGCAGAUCUUUGGCCUGUGUCACAUGUCAACUAAGGAUAAGAACCCUCAAUACAGGAACUCAGUUUUCAAAUGUAAAUGAGGCAAAUACCUGAAUCUCAACAGUUUCCUUAUAUAUCUUUGAACUACCAGAUUAUGCAGGUGUAUCAUCUGUAUUAUGAGGGGUAACUUGUACAUACAAGAACCCAUUUAUGUCAAUUAAACUAUUUGUGUAUGGAAGCUAAAAUAAGUUUAGGGCAUGCACUUUGGCAUGUAGACACUUUGCCAGAGUAAUUGAUGGAGUGAAUUGUGAAUACCUCAUCUAAGGACAUUAAAAUACAGAACUGCUAAAAGUCACUAAAGCAAAGGAUUUUAUAUUUUUUUAAACUUUAAAUAUUUUGCUAGAUUCUGACUAUUUUAUUCUGUGUGCUGUCUUGCUUAAACCCAAUAUAAUAGAAAAACUAUAUUUUUAUAAUUUUUUUAUUACAUUACAAAUGCUGGGAAAAUUGUAAUGAGCUAGAGUUUAGAUUUUGAAGCAUUUAACUACUCCAUUUCCAUCUGAAUUAACAUAUAAUGCCAUCUUUAAUUCUGUAUUUAUCACAGGAAAUUUUUUGCUUGAAAGAUAUACUUCUGGGAAUAUAUUAAUUGUCCUGUGCCAUAAUAUCACUUCUGAAAGGAUUAAGUCCUUAAAUAUUAGAGUUCAGUAGGACUGUUCUUAAUCUUUGCUGUAAUAAUAAAUACUGAAUGUCAGACCUUUUCAAUGAUCCAAAUUGGAAACGUCGUUUAUCUCACUAAAAUGAAGGGAAGCUCCACAUGUGUACAUAUGAAAGUAGGGAAUUGUUAUCCCAAAUAUAGCUUGCAAAGAUAAUUGGAAAGGAUUAAUUUACUUCAUGUGGCUUUCAGGGAUGUGAAUAGUCUGCUGUGUUCCCAGGAAACAAAGAAUUUGGAAGUCUUUUGCUGGUGCAUAAUUGUCUUCAAAGUUUGCAUUCUCAGGUAUUUUUAGGUGUACCUGUCCUUGAAAAGGUGAUUCAACCCCAAACCUCAGGUUUUCCCUGUCGGAAGCUUCUUCAUAUUGCUCCAGACUCCUAACAUGAAAUUUUGAAUAUUAGAAUAUUUUGUCACCUCGUUUAUAAUAUUCGUGGAAUAGAAUUUCUUUCAAUAAGUUACACAUGCGUAUAUCUGUACAUGUAUAAAUAUUGAUACAUACCAAGUUUUGGAAGACUCUGUCAAUAGAAUUAGGCCAUGUUAUGUUUGUGUUCUAGCAGGUACAGUUUGAGUCUCAGACAGAGAGGCUUUUAUCAGUCCUGUGUGGGAAGCUGGUUAAUCAAGCUUCUGUACUUUUCAUCUGCACCCACAGUUUUACCUGAGUUGCAUUUCCCUUGCUUAGAUUCCUCCUACUUAUGUAAAGCCUCCGGCUCAGCAGUCUGACAUUGACCUCUUUGUUCAUGGCCAUUUACUUUCCUCUGCAUGGCAGUUCCGUAGAGGUACUGUGCAAGCAAUUCCCUUUCCAGCAUAUUGCCAGCUGGAAAGAGCUGACAUGAACCUUCUAGGAAAGUUGUGAUAUGGUGUAAUAUCCACAUUCACCUGCAGCCAUCAAUUUUAAGGCGUUAUCUCUGAAAAGCAGAGGGGAUUGAGUGGAUGUGCUGUAAAGGAAUCAAUGGAAUAUCCACUUUAAUGCUCUCCUGAGAAUGAAGGCAUGGUCUGCAGAAAUCCAUUCCGGCAAAUGUGCUAAUGCCAUGGUGUUUGUGUCCUGGACCUCCUGUGAGGUGAGACCCUGCAGGGUCUCUGUGGUCUGCUGUUGAGUCCCCUCUCAACAAAGAGGUUCUCUAGAAACAAAAUCUCCAGGACCUGUAUAUAGACAUGUAGCUUCAGGGAGCAAAUGGAGUCCCAGAAUUCCAUUUGGAAACUGUUCAUCUCUAGGGUUGCAAGAAUAUCCAGUGGUGUGGGAACAUCUACUGGUCUGGUUAAUACCAAAGUACCAGCAUUCAGCUUUUACAGAUACAGAUCAGAUCUGCAUUUCUCCCUUCAUUAUCGCUGCAUGGGAAUUUGCUUGAAUGUAGAGAGUAGGUUGCUUAUCAGCUGAUAUGGUGGGACAAGGAGUCAGCCUCAGCUGCAGACUCAAGAAACCAUGAAAUAGAUGAGUUUCAUAUAUGAUUUUGUGAGGCAGUAUAAAAAAAAUUGUCAGCUACACAAGAGUGGCUAUAGGGCAGUGAAAGAAAGUCUUUCCACCUAUGAACACUUAUAAAACAUCAGUAGGUGAUUUAAAAUAUUUUUCAGUAUGAAAAUAUAAUUUGGAUAGUAUACUAAUUAAUUUAAUUACUUAAGUAUUAUUUAUUAAAUGCUGUCAUGUAUGAUAUUUACUCUGGUUUAGUUGUGCAGAUUUCGUAAUCAAUGGAUUGGUGUAUUGUAGAGCCCUAUCUUAAUCUGAAAGCUCAAGAAUUAAAACAUUGUAUCUUUUCACUCAUUGAACACAGGAGGUUGUUAGGCAGCCAAUUUUGAGGAAAUGCAGGUAACGUUGUUUGGAAAAUCUUAGGUGAUGCAAGGCCUACACUCAUUCACAAAAAAAUGGCUUCACAGUGGAUGAGAAGUGCCUCAAAUCCUCAGAAAUCAAAUCACCAAGUGCUAGUUGUAUGCCAGGCCUGUGUUUUACUGUGCCAUCAGCAAGCCACACUAUUCUGUGGAAAACUGACUGCUGCCUCUUGCUCACUGUAGAGGCUGCACCUGUUCCUUCGCUCCUGUGGCCACUCCUGAUCUUCUCCUCCUAAGUGCCACUCUACAAGGCUGGACACUACCCCUCCAUGUUUGUUGUCAAUGCGCAUGACUAAAGUGGCAUUUUCAUAUUCGAGUGCAGUCGAGGCCCCUUAAAGCAGAGGGUUGCAAGUGUGAGAGAGAGAUAUGUUAUUCCCUAAUGGCUUAUUACCAUUCCAUUUGCAAUUCAGAUCAGCUCUAAAUUGACUGAAAUUUUUAAACACAUAGCAGGCAGUUUAAACUAAUGAUUGUCUGGAGGUUCACAUCUGACACGAGCUAAGCUUCUGCUCAAAACAAAUUGCAAAUAAUUCCUUCCUUAGAGUCAAAAUGUCACUUUUUUACACGGUGCAUUGUUGCCAGAUUUUGUCAGUUUUGUGAAAAGAAAAGCCACACCGAACCCCACAAAAAAACUGCUGAAUGUUCUGAAUUAGACAGCCGUGUGGCGCUGGGGUUGCUCCCCACCCCCCUUAUUUACAGUAAUGUAUAUGUGUGCGUGGAUCCCUGUAGCCUGAUGGAAAAUCCUUCCAGCUCCAGCUCCCAACACCCUCAGCCUGCACCACAUGCCCCCAGGGCCUGAGCUUUCAAACAACCCUUGCAGGGAGUGGGAUGCCUUGGCCACCAGCAUCUCUGUACCUAUAGCUGCCAGGGUGAAUGACCGACUCCGCUUCAUCCCAGGCAUUCUGCCUUGGCUGCCUCCCUGUUGUCAGCUUGCCUAGGCCCAACAGCCACGGUCCUGGAAGUAGGGGUGCCAUGGGUGGCUGUGGUGUAUCACAGCGAUGAUGAACACUGCACAGACUGGGCGCUGUGUACCCUGACGGACAGUGCUGAGCCUUCUGCACUUCCAUGAAAAAUGCCAGGUGCUGGCACAGAGUUGCUUUCUUCAGUCCCUGGACAUGUAGUAAAAUGGGCUUAAUCCUUCAUUGUUUCCAUUUUUCAGUACCUUGCAAUGGCUGCUUAAAGCAGUAUUUCAGAAUUGGAGUUUAAUUCCAUCAAGAUUUCAAAGUCCAUAGGUUUGAUGAUGAUAAAAAGGGAAGCUCUUUAAAAAUAGCCAGUGGGGUGGAAAUGGUGUGUUCAGUUUGUGAUUGAAAUUGAGUUUCCCUUGAAAGAAAUAACCCAUCUGAAGGGACUUGCUGGAGAAAUUUAAAUAACUUGCAACCCCAUAUAACUAAAUGCACAUAGGGAAGUAUCUGCUAAUUUCUGAAGAGAAAGAGCUUAUCUAGAGAGAAAACUAAAAUCCAUUUUUCUUUGAUGGAAUCCUUGUAUAUUUCUGCUUUGUAGAUGCUAUCAAAGGAAUAAGGUUUGGGACAGUCUUUUUCACCCACAGUGUUACUGGAUCUGUUAUGUUUGUUGGAUGUUACUUGAAUGCCUGUAUUACUUAGCUGAAUUGUGGCUACUUUCAGACUCCAGGAAAAGGUUUGUUUUUCAAAAAUUAUGACAAUGAACCCUCUUAUAUUCAUCACAGUUGUUGUUCAGUUGCUGUUUAUGUUUUCAUCUUGAACUGUGUAUUGAUAAACUUUGUACAAUAUUGCAUGUCUCAAAAGCUUUUGCAUAGUACAUGGUCAUGCUUAAUGUUUUUUCAAUCUCUUUUCCCAUUGAGAAAUAUUCCUUGAACUGUUGUUAAAAUGGUGUUUUGAUGGAAAUUUUCUCAUGAGAGAAAGUAUGGUGAAAUGACAUGCUUCUUAUGCACUAAAAUUGUAAUUUCACUGAAAAUUUUCAUUUUCUUGCUGAAAAAUGUAAAUCCAGAAUGGAUUUCAAUCUAUGCAUGGUAAGAAAUCCUGAAACAUCAUUUGAUUGUCUUGAUUAAGAAUGUCUCUGUGAGGAAGUAAAAGUUGAAACCAAAUCAAAGGACUUUUCUUUGCUAAAAGUCAACUUUCCUACUACAUGUUCAUUACAUGUAAAAAAUUGCAUUUCGGGGUUUUUUUUUUAAAAGGAGAGGGUAAACAUAAAAAAACGCAUUUCUUCAGAUUUUCUUAACUUUGUGAUCUUUUUGGGAAUAUCUACCUGCUUGAAACUAGCUCUAGGAAAGAGGUGCAUAUGUGUUACAUUUUCCUUAUGCCUUCAAUAUGUACAGUUGAAAUGUGAUAUACUUUGCAGUUAACAAAAACCAGCAACAACAAAGAAGAGGAUCAGCUUACGGAUUAUGUAUAUGGAUUAGUAUAAAAUAAGUUUCUGCUUUCAAAAUAACCUUAUAAGUGCCACCUCCUUCCACUAUAUAAAUCUAUUUUGUUGGAGAGUAAAUUUAAAUUCAGUUUGCCCAGCUGCAAUUAAGUAUAUAUAAUAGAAGUAUUGCUGAUUGAUUUUAAGGUUAGAACUCAAACAAAAACUAUCUUUCAUCUCUGAGGCAUUAAAAACCAUUUUUCAUCUUUUGAUUUGCUGGAGGGAAGGAAUGCCAUCCAGAAGGACCUUGAUAGGCUUGCAGAGUGAGCCUAUGCAAACCUCAGGAAGUUCAACAAGUCCAAGUGCAAAGUCCUGCUCCUGGGUCAUGGCAAUCCCCAGCAUCAAUUCAGCCUGGGGUUUAGUACUGACUGGAAGGUGCACAUUCUGGGAAACCACUAAAUAGCUUUUAUUGCCUCUACAUAAUUCAUCUGUCCUCCCCUUUGAACAGUAGUGCUUCCAGCAGUAGCUCUCUGGUUUUAAAAAUUGUCCUUUCUUGUGGCCCAUAGGAAUUCAUAAAGCUUAUGGUUUAAGGUAGUGGCAGUAUUAAACCUUUUCUUCUUUUCUAGAUGCACAACCCAGGGCUGUGAAUUCUAUUGCUCCCAAUAGAACAUCUGAAUGACACACAGAGAAGCUGGCAAUACUGUGGGAUUGAGAAGAUACCACCACCACCCUGAAACUGAUAGAGAUUUCGCUCUGGAACAGCCCCAUUUAUAUCACUCUGAUAUUUUUCUCUCCUGAGAAUUUUCAAAUUGUAUCUGUGAGCAUAGGCUGAACAAGAUUAUCUUCAUCUUCACUGAAGUUUAUGAUUAUUACAAAUGAUGUAUGUAUGUAGUGUGUUUCUCUUUACAGAUAUUUUGCAGAUUUUCACACUAGAGUCUUUGUAUUUGAAUGAUGAUGUGACCACUUUUGCCUACUGGUAACAGCAAGAAUAUAUUUUCAAUGCUUUUUUAGUAAUGCCAGUGUUUUGAGUUACUGGAAAACUAUUUAUCUCUGUCUACAUACAGCGAUGUGUUUUUAUGUUUGUAAAUAUAUUAAUUGUUUAUAAGAUGUUUUAAAAUAAUGUUUAAAAGUUGUAGUGUUCUCAGCACUGCACAAGCAUGGUACCUGGCAUUGCUCCAUGAGGUAGUAUUUUAAUUGGAAAUAAGAUGCAGUGAUUACAUGUACCAUACAGGAAAUGGAAGGUAUGAUGAAAGUCACUGGUACUUAUAUAUGCUGUAUGGUUUGCAACUUAGUAUCAGCAAAUGUUAAAUCAACUUUGGCUUUUUGGUGCUUUCCUCUUCCGGGCUUUUUUAUUCUGAUAGAGCUGAUCUCCCUCUCACUCUGACUGCUGCCUAAUUGUUCCAUAACCCUCCUUCCCUGCCUUCCCCUGUUCUGUCUUACACUGAAUGACCCUAGAAAUGAGACUUACA